ACUUCUAUUCCACGUAAAAGAAAAACCCAAAACCCCUCCUCAAGUUCACGUAAAAGAACAGAAACCCUUUCCUUCAACCAUUCACGUCGUCCUUGCUUCUGCCAGCCGCCACCACCGCCGGACCUCCUCCCGCCGCAACCACCACUCGUCGCCGAGCAUCCUAGCGCAGCCGCUGCAUAACCUCGACCACCGCCACCUUGCACGCCACCACCUCCGCGACCACCACUGUCGCGUAACCGGCGACCACCGCAGCCCUCGCCGCUGCUUUUCCCUUCCGACCAACGUCUCUCUCCCUCACUUUUGGUUGUUUCUUGAACCCUAACCUAAAUUAUUGUUUUUAAUUACGUUUUAAUAAUUUAAUUUAUGUUUCUUAAAUUAAAUUUAUGAUUUUUAUGAUUAAGCUAUGAAUUUUCAGAUUAUAUAUUUGAAUUAAUUAAUAAUUUAAUUUUCAGAUUAUGUAAUUGCAUUGAAAUAAUGAUUUUUAAUUAUUUAAAAUAUGAAUUUUAAGUUUUAAUGGAAUUGAAUCAUGGUGGAAUGAUUGUGGAUUAUUAAAAUUAUUGUUGGGAUGUUCUAAGCAUGUUACUUUGGCCUUGACGAAGUUUUAAACGAAUUUAUAUUGCUCGAAAUUUAAAGUAUAAUGUUUGCAAAAGUUUUCAACGAAUUUCAAUCACUAAUUCAAUAAUGAUGAUGCUAGGAAAUCAAAUGUUUAAGUUUUGAUAUUGGGGAAAGUUCUAAAUAUGUUUAGGAUGCAUUUAGAAUGCUCUCUUAUGGUUGUCAAUGAUUAGGAAUUGAUUGGGAUUAUUUGUUGGUUGUUUUAGGCGGAGAAUUCUUUGUAGGCGACUUUUGAAAGUGUUAAAGUGGCCUAUUAUUUGUUUACACAAGUCUCUAGGGAUCAAUAAGCAUCGUCCAUUACAGGUUUGAAGGUGAUGCAUCAUGGGGUUCGGGAUUGAAGAGUUGUGUAGUUAUUAAAUUGCUUUGUUUUAAGUUUGAUGUUGAAUUUGUUUGGCCUGUUUUAAAGAGACUCGAACUUUGUUUUAAUUAAUUACGUUGACUUUGUUUUGUUUGUUGGUUUUAGAUUUUAUUCCGUAGUUGACUUAUUUAAAUUAUUAAAGUUAGUUUUAUGUUUUCCGCUGCAAAAUUCUGAAUAAGCCGUUACGUUUUCACACGGGCGAUAAUGCCUUGAUAAUUCUCUACGUUUUAUAUUAAAAGGUUAUUUUAGAAAGGAGAGAAUUGUCGGGGUGUUACAAGCAUCAACCAGAGCUUCUGUAGCAGCAUCCCCGGGCAGUUCUCUUCUUAAAUCCGGGAUUGUGUAGCAGCAUAAACCGGAGCUUAUCAACCAGAGCUUCUGCGACAACAGUGCAGCUCUCUUCUUAAAUCCGGGAUUCUGUAGCAGCAUCAACCGGAGCUUCUGUAGUAGCAUCAACCAGAGCUUCUGCAGCAACAGGGCAGUUCUCUUCUUAAAUCCAAAUAAUAGUGUCACAAAUUUCACCUAGCAGUUUAGGACAUUCACCAUAACUCGUAUGGUCGUAAAAUGUGACAAAAAGAUUAAAGGUCACAAAAGUUCAAAGCAAAGUCCAGAAUUCAGGGGCUAGAUCAACUACGAGAUGUUUCAAUUCAAUCAAGUUAUGUGAUCGCAGCAUCAAAAGACAAUCCGAAUGCAGUGGUUAUGUUAAAAUAAAUUAAUUAGGCAGGUCUCAUUAAGGGAUGAUUAUGAUCAGACAAUAUAUGCAUCAGAAGUAAUACCUUG